rfam:Xanthomonadales bacterium 63-13 scnpilot_p_inoc_scaffold_240, whole genome shotgun sequence.
GGGGGUGUCAUGGCUUCGACGGGGGUAGUGAGAUAGUCUGGUGCAUGCCGAGGGGGCGACUUUCCUCGUUAAUCCAGUAGCAAACUUUUAGUUGCCAACGACGACAACUACGCUCUCGCCGCUUAAGGCGUAAGCCGGGAACCCACUUGUGCUCAUGCUCGUGGAUGUACCGUCAUUAUCAUGGGAUAGCCCGAAUCCGCGGUCUGACGGAGCACGGCGAAAUCUUCCAGACUGGUCAACCGGUGCGUUUCGCACAUCGUACUGCCGGAAGACGAGACCGAACGGUGAGCUAAGCAUGUAGGACUGGGCGUCAAUCGCCUUCGGACGCGGGUUCGACUCCCGCCACCUCCACCA